UGAACCACAUUCCCCACAUUAUUUUGAGACACAGUUUCACUAAGUUGCUUAGAGUCUUGCAAAAUUGCUGAGGCUGGCUUUGAGCUUUUGAUCCUCCUGCCUCAGCCUCCUGAGCCACUGGGAUGACAGGGGUGGGCCACAGCACCCCGUGAGAACUGUCAUUUUAAAGAUGAGAAGGCUGAGUCUUACAACCUCCCGCCCCCUUCACCAUGGACACCUGGUGUCCCCUCCAGGACCUCCAAUGGGGAAGAAGCUCUCCUUAGAGGCAGCUGGCUCACUGUGUGGAGCAUUUCUUUCCCUUAUUGAAGGAAAAUGUGUCUCCUCUUGUUCCUGCCCAGAGGUUCAGCCUUGCCUCCUGGAUUCAGCACCUCUUCUACUGCUAUUAGUUCUCACGGGAAAUUGCUGGCCUCCUUCUUCCUUCCUCCAGGUAAGACUACCCUAUUUCCUUCCAUGGCGAGGAGCUCUGUCACCUCUGGGAAUCUGCUUUAGGAUUGGUUGCCUUUCCAAACAAGUAAACAUGCACCCAACACUCCUGACACAGCUGCGUGGGGAUUUUUUCCCACAUGGAUCAUUUCUCAACCCUCUGGACACUGGUGUGAGCUCUACAUUCAGUUAUGACUCUAAGUACCUGGAGUUAGUGCUGACCCUGCGGGGUAAGGGCUCAGUCCCACAAGACCAACCCCAUCUCAGAAGCUAAUCGCAAGUAGUGGGUCCCCAGGUUACCUAUGAUUCUGUCUGAUUGGCUACAAAUCAGGGGUCCCCCUGAGGUUUCUCUCAGGUUCCAUAACUGGCUACGCUAGCUCACGGCACUGAGAGGAAACACCGUGGUUUACUGGUUGGUUAUAAAGGAUGUGAUAAAGGAUACAGAUGGAGAGCAAGAUGAAGAAGUGCAUAGAGCAGGGUCUAGAAGGGCCCUGAGUACAGAAGCUUCCAGUCCCUGUGGAGCUGGGGUGGGUCAUCCCCAGCAGGUGGAUGUGUUCACCCACCCAAAGCCCCCAUCCUCGUCUUUCAGAGAUUUCUGUGGAGACUUCAUCACAUUGGCACAAUUUUGGCUACCAGCUCCACCUCCAGUCCUUCUCCCUCCCUGGAAGAUGGGGAGAUGGGACGUUCCAACUUGUAAUCUCAGCCUGGCCAUUUUGGUCACCAGGAACCCACAGGAGUCACUUUAUCAGAAAAAAUUGAUGCUCUUGCCACACAGGAAAUUCCAGGGAUUUAGGAGCUCUGUUAGCACCUGGGGUCAAAGACCAAGUGGUAGGGUGAAGGAUGCAACUGUGGCCACCCUGUCCCUCAGUAUGUCACAAGGGGGUUUUAGGAGUUCUGAGCCAAGAACUGGGGCAGAGGCCAAUUCUACAUGUGUGAGUGUCCUGUGUGUUUAUUAUGCCACACCUUCCUUCUCCCUUCAUGGGCCCUGAGUACACGGGAUCACAAGUGUCCUUGGGGGCCACCCUGCACUGCCUUCCACUUCCAGACCACCCAAGGGUAGCUAAGCAGGAAAAGAGGCCACCGUGCUUGGGAGUCCAGCACCGGAGAUGUCACUGCCUGCCACCACUGCUCCCCAAGCUGUUCCUCUGCUCUGCGGCCAGGAGCACAGCCAGCCAGGAGCGUCGUGGGAGCCAGACAAAGACACAGAUGCGGCUGCUGGAAGCUGGAAGGAGGCUCGGCCAGCCGGGCUGGGGGAUGGCUCCUGGAACACGCAGAUAAAGAUGUCGCCGGGAGUGGGAGCCUCUCCACCGGCCAUUACCAGGCAGCGAUGGCGCUGAGUGGCUAUUCCCUGGUGUGGCCGGGGCGCUGUGCCAUUGGGGCCUGGGCUCCAGCGGUGGCCGGCAGCAUGGGUCUCACAAAAGGCUGAGCAGUUGGCAUUUCCGGUUGAAAGGCAGUUUUUGGAGGGUGAUUUCUUGGCUCCUCUAAUUAACGAGAAGCAGAGGUUCCAGCUUGGCAGACAGAGCUGCCUCUGGCCUCGGGCACAGCUCCACGCUCCAUCCUGCCUUCAAGUCUCAAAAAAAAAAAAAAAAUCUUGGAAUCAAAAGAGUCUUUAGGUAGCUCCAGUUUUCAAAUUUAAUAGGGACUCACAGGGCAGAAUGGAGGGGCUCUGUGAGGCCCACAGCCCCCCACCCUUGCCUUUGGGAAGCACUGAGUCCCGAGCCCUUUCCCUGGUUUCCCUGCCUACCCCACAGGGUGGAUUAUUUCUCUGCUCUAGAGACCCCCAAUCCCAGAGGAGUAAAAUCUAAAUGGCCCCCACACUGGCACCCAGAGUUUUCAGUGGUUUCCCGCUCAGCUGGAUCAAAAUAAUUCCAGUCUCUGAAGGAACACUUCACUUCCCAUGGAGACCUGGUCUUCUUGUCCUUAAAUGCUAUGGGGGCUGAGUGGAGGCCAUCUCCCAGGCUGUCAUUGCAUUGAAGUCCAGGGCCCCAAACCCAGGCAGCCUCCAGUCCUACCAUGAGCUGCUCCCACCCCCACUGCUCUUUGUCCCCAGAGUCAUGGAAUAUCUCUGAUGACUAUAUAAAGGAGGUUGCUGGGGCCCAGAGAGGGCAAGAGGUGUGGUCCAGGUUACACAGCAACUCCUGUUGAGCCAGGACUUCAUGCAUUAGAGGAGUAGAGGUUAUGUAAUGCCAGAUUCGUGGGACCCCAGUAGACCUCCAGGAGCUGAAUCCGAUGCAAUCACACAAGAGCUCCAGCCUGGACUCACAACUGUUUCCAACGCAGCGGUCCCAGGGACUGAGUCCUGGUCCUUUGUUCAGGGAGAUUUUAUAGGUUUUGGGGGGAUACUCUAUGCGUCACAAUAUCACACAGCAAAUCAUUCCAUACCGCGGGAAAAUCAAACAACAACUCUUAACAUUGAUUAGCACAUUCAUUGGCGGGAACAAGUUGGGUAGGGGUGAUUGGUUAGUACAAGAGGGGGGUUCGUUUGAACUGAUUGGUUUAGGCCACGAGGAGUGUACGUGCUAAACUACAUGGUUUCCCAAAUUAUUAUCAACCACCAUAAACUACUGGGGGGUCAUCUGGCAUUCCAGGUAUUUUCCCUGUCUCAUGCUGAUUGGAGGUUGCUAGGUGUUGCUAUGGAUCCUCUCCUGGCCUGACUGAGUCAUGGACACCUGGCGCUGCAGAUCUCUCCAGUUAUUUGCAGACAAACAACACAGCAGGAGGCUGAGCUGGCGGUGGAGGCUGCAGGGAGAGUGGGUUCCUUAUUCCCUCUCAUGCGUCCACCCAUAGGAAUUCUAACAAGAAGUUGAUUGUCCAGUCUCAUAAAAAGCAACACAUUAGAGCCAACAAGACCUGGGGGGAGAACAGCAGCCGAUUUGGAUUCCAGAGAGACUAACCAAAGCGAUUUCUACAGACCAAAAAGAAGAUGAUUUGACUCAAAUCCAUAACAGCUGAUAUCCAGAGCUCCAGCUUGGCUAUUCUUACAUCUGCGACAGUGAUUAACCAGGAUGCUUUUUUCAGUAUCUAUUUUAUUAUUGCCUUUUCCCACAUCAUAAAGUUCUAUUUUAUUUUUUGAGCUCAUACAGACCUAGGUUAAUGUUUUUCUGAUCAGUUUUAUUUUUUGACUGUGGAGUUUUUAAACAUUGCAAUGGAGAUUUCACCUGUGUAAAGCUACAAGGCCUUUACUAUUGUCUUAUGUGUUGUACAUUUGUGUGCACACUUGUGUUUUGUGUUGUAUGUCUGCGUGUGCGUAUGUCCAUAUAUCAUAUAUGAGGAGCGCUCAUGAAAAAAUGGAUCCGAAUUUUUUUUAUUCAUGUGAUUUUAAUGGUUUAAUUUAAAUUGGGUAAACAGCUGUUGAGGAUUGUUUUAAUAUGUGUACAAAUAAGGAGGUUAACAGAUCUGUUUGUUUACUUUCACCUUUCCUUUUCAUUAUAUUUAAUAAUUCUGUUCAGGAUAAUGUAAAUUGUUCAGAAAAUUGUUUUCUUAGUACCAGUUGGAAUGUUACAUAUUUUUUUUUUUUUAGCCGUCAUUGCCAGAAUUCCUAUCUUCAUCCCAGUGCCGGUGAAGACAAAGAUAAAACCAAACUACAGCUUCUUCAAUAGCUAUCACAGUAAACUGUAUAAACUGAUGCAUCAAUGAAUAAUAACUCAACAAGUAAUGCUCAGUCAAGGAGUCGAUUUACUUUGGGAGGAAAUGGACAUAUUGAUGGAUUCCUCUGCUUUGAACUGCUUGCAGAACUUGCCUGGACUAUGUAUCACUUGUAUGCAUUGUGAACUAUCUGUUGGUGCAGCGAAUUGUGGUAGUGCUGGUGUAUCUUUGCUGAUGGUGGCACCAGUGAUACAAUUUUUCCAAAGGAGCCAUCAAUUGGCUUGGUGUCAUGGCAUUUCUGUAUCCUCCUCCCUUCUACUAGUGAUGGUCUAAAAUUUGGGGGCCAACAGAGGUGAGGCAAAGAACCUCACCCCCCCACACACUGGUGCAAAGGCCUAUCCACAAGUAUGGCUGUAUGCUGGACCGGUAGUCAGUGAUGGGUAUGAUCCAAUUGCAGUAGUACCAACCUAAGACAGGAGGCUGACACCUAGAGGUCAGCUCAUCCAAUGACGGGUAAGAACCAUAUGUUGUAUUGGACAGCCUAACAGGCAGGGUCCCUAAGCCACAUUCCUUGUUGUUCAAUUAAACAGAAGGGGGGAGAUGCUGAGAGCCAUAGCCAAGUAGGAAUGAUGCAUGGCAUUUUUGGUUGAAAGGUGAUGCCAGCAAGCCAUUGAGAUGAUAAUGAUUAUGUUAAGAUGUGCAUUCAAUUGGAGAUUAGACCCUUGCUGUCCACCUCGGCCUGCUACUUUGGGGCUCUUUCGGGACUCCCGGAGAGUUCCCAUUGGUUGGGGAAGUGCGGUAGGAGGGAAUUCCGGAGGAGGGAUUUCCUGUUGGUGUAGUGUGUCCCGGGAGAAGGCCGCAUGCGUGGCAUUCGCGGGAGUUUUGGAAAUAAAGUUUGUUCCUGCUUGA